rnacentral:tRNA from 1 species
GGAGGGUGCUGCGUGCCUGGUGGUCGCCGGAGUCUUCAAAACUCUUGAAGGGCUGUAAUGGUCCUUGAUUGGUUCAAUUCCUUUCCCCUCC